AAAGAAUUAGUUAAAUUACCAUAACAUUUGCUUGUCAGGCCAAAAUUACUAGUUUUAACCCUAGUAUUCUUUA
rnacentral:tRNA from 1 species